rnacentral:misc_RNA from 1 species
UGGUUCUGGCAUCGAUGAAGAACGCAGCGAAAUGCGAUAAGUAAUGCGAAUUGCAGAAUUCCAGUGAGUCAUCGAAUCUUUGAACGCACAUUGCGCCCAUUGGUAUUCCGAUGGGCAUGCCUGUUCGAGCGUCAUUAUCAACCCUCAAGCCCAGGCUUGGUGUUGGAGGAUGGCCUGGGUCGCCCCGGGCCCCUCCGAAAGACAAUGACGGCGGCGACGACGGCCCCGGUACACUGAGCUUUUCACCGAGCACGUACUGGCUGGACCCCGUGGCCGACGGUCGGCCUCCCCUUUGGGGAGAAUCUUUAUACUUAGGUUGACCUCGGAUCAGGUAGGGAUACCCGCUGA